rnacentral:rRNA from 1 species
CAUAGCGACUAUCGUGGCAUAUCAAUAAGCGGAGGAAAAGAAACUAACUAGGAUUCCCCUCAGUAACGGCGAGUGAAGCGGGAAGAGCUCAAAUUUGAAAUCUUCAAGGGUUCUACCUUUACGAAUUGUAGUUUAAAGAAGUGUUUUCUGUUGGAGUUUUCGGUAAAAGUUCUUUGGAAUAGGACAUCAUAGAGGGUGAGAAUCCCGUAUUUGACCAGUUACUUUCCAGCUUUGUGAUACACUUUCAAAGAGUCGGAUUGUUUGGGAAUGCAGUCCAAGAUGGGUGGUAAAUUUCAUCUAAAGCUAAAUACUGGCGAGAGACCGAUAGCGAACAAGUACCGUGAGGGAAAGAUGAAAAGAACUUUGAAAAGAGAGUUAAACAGUACGUGAAAUUGUCAAAAGGGAAGCGUUUGACACCAGUGUUGUUUAGUUGAAAAUCAAUUCAAUAAUUUUUGAUUUUAAGUAGUAUUGACUUCAUCAGCUUGCUACUCUCUUUUCAGGAAAUUAUUGAAUGCACUUUUCAGUUAACAAGUCAACAUCAAUUUCUUUUGUUGUAAAAGGGUAAGAGGAAGGUGGCUUACGUUUCGGCGUAAGUGUUUAUAGCCUUUUACCUCUGCAAUCGGAGAGAUUGAGGACAGCAGCGUAGACUCCUUCUGGGGUUAGAUACACUUGUGCUAAGCUAUAGCCUUGUAUAGACAACUUGUUGACUAUGCUCAGUCAUGUAGCUUACUCGCUUGUGCUAUUUUACCUACGCUUAGGAUGUUGAUAGUCACAGCGUGUAC